rnacentral:rRNA from 1 species
UACGUAGGGUGCGAGCGUUAAUCGGAAUUACUGGGCGUAAAGUGUGCGCAGGCGGCCGCGCAAGUCGAGUGUGAAAGCCCCGGGCUUAACUUGGGAAUUGCGCUCGAAACUACGUGGCUGGAGUGUGGCAGAGGAAGGUGGAAUUCCACGUGUAGCGGUGAAAUGCGUAGAGAUGCGGAGGAACACCAAUGGCGAAGGCAGCCUUCUGGGCCAACACUGACGCUCAUGCACGAAAGCGUGGGGAGCAAACAGG